GAUUUUGGUUUGGUUUGGUUUGGUGGUUUGUGCGGGAUUUUGUGGGGAGGAGAGUAAUGGCGACCGCAGGGAAGGUGAUCAAGUGCAAAGCGGCGGUGGCAUGGGAGGCCGCGAAGCCGCUGGUGAUCGAGGAGGUGGAGGUGGCGCCGCCGCAGGCCAUGGAGGUGCGCGUCAAGAUCCUCUUCACCUCGCUCUGCCACACCGACGUCUACUUCUGGGAGGCCAAGGGACAGACUCCCGUGUUCCCUCGGAUCUUCGGCCAUGAAGCUGGAGGUAUUGUGGAGAGUGUUGGAGAGGGUGUGACUGAUCUUGCCCCUGGUGACCAUGUUCUCCCUGUGUUCACUGGGGAGUGCAAG
rnacentral:misc_RNA from 1 species